UACGGGGGGGGCAAGCGUUGUUCGGAAUUACUGGGCGUAAAGGCUCGUAGGCGGCCAACUAAGUCGGAUGUGAAAUCCCCAGGCUUAACCUGGGAACUGCAUCCGAUACUGGAUGGCUUGAAUCCGGGAGAGGGAUGCGGAAUUCCAGGUGUAGCGGUGAAAUGCGUAGAUAUCUGGAGGAACACCGGUGGCGAAGGCGGCAUCCUGGACCGGUAUUGACGCUGAGGCGCGAAAGCCAGGGGAGCAAACGGG
rnacentral:rRNA from 1 species